rnacentral:rRNA from 1 species
UACAGAGGGUGCAAGCGUUGCUCGGAUUUACUGGGCGUAAAGCGUACGCAGACGGUGAGAAAGGUCGGAUGUGAAAGCCCCGGGCUCAACCCUGGAACUGCAUCCGAAACCAUCUCGCUAGAGUAUGAGAGAGGGAAGCAGAAUUCCUGGUGUAGAGGUGAAAUUCAUAGAUAUCAGGAGGAAUACCUGCGGCGAAGGCGGCUUCCUGGCUCAUUACUGACGUUCAGGUACGAAAGCGUGGGUAGCAAACAGG